rnacentral:rRNA from 1 species
CCUACGGGCGGCUGCAGUGGGGAAUAUUGGACAAUGGGCGAAAGCCUGAUCCAGCCAUGCCGCGUGUGUGAAGAAGGCCUUCGGGUUGUAAAGCACUUUCAGUGGGGAAGAAAGCCUUGGGGCUAAUACCCUCGAGGAAGGACAUCACCCACAGAAGAAGCACCGGCUAACUCCGUGCCAGCAGCCGCGGUAAUACGGAGGGUGCGAGCGUUAAUCGGAAUUACUGGGCGUAAAGCGCGCGUAGGCGGUCUGAUAAGCCGGUUGUGAAAGCCCCGGGCUCAACCUGGGAACGGCAUCCGGAACUGUCAGGCUAGAGUGCAGGAGAGGAAGGUAGAAUUCCCGGUGUAGCGGUGAAAGGCGUAGAGAUCGGGAGGAAUACCAGUGGCGAAGGCGGCCUUCUGGACUGACACUGACGCUGAGGUGCGAAAGCGUGGGUAGCAAACAGGAUUAGAUACCCCGGUAGUC